ACGAACGCUGGCGGCGUGCUUAACACAUGCAAGUCGAACGGAAAGGCCCUGCUUUUGUGGGGUGCUCGAGUGGCGAACGGGUGAGUAACACGUGAGUAACCUGCCCUUGACUUUGGGAUAACUUCAGGAAACUGGGGCUAAUACCGGAUAGGAGCUCCUGCUUCAUGGUGGGGGUUGGAAAGUUUCGGCGGUUGGGGAUGGACUCGCGGCUUAUCAGCUUGUUGGUGGGGUAGUGGCUUACCAAGGCUUUGACGGGUAGCCGGCCUGGGAGGGUGACCGGCCACAUUGGGACUGAGAUACGGCCCAGACUCCUACGGGAGGCAGCAGUGGGGAAUAUUGCACAAUGGGCGGAAGCCUGAUGCAGCAACGCCGCGUGCGGGAUGACGGCCUUCGGGUUGUAAACCGCUUUCGCCUGUGACGAAGCGUGAGUGACGGUAAUGGGUAAAGAAGCACCGGCUAACUACGUG
rnacentral:rRNA from 1 species